GCAUGGCACUGUUGGAAAUAGGCGACUGAGCUUGCAUAUGUAUCGUGUUUAAGCAACGUAUGGCUUCAUUGAGAAUACCUGAUAUUAUGAAAUGACCGGUGACUGAGCGACCGAACGCUAGCUGUCCUCUACACAUGUUUUGAUGACGUCACACUCAAUUUCUGAAUUAAUAAUAACAGGAAGACUCUCCACAAUGUACAUGUACAUUCUUUUAUCGCUUUGAGGAAAAAGUGAGGAUGUCAUCUCGAAUGGAAAGGGAUUAUGUCUCGUGAAGCAUGGCCAGAGCUGAAAGAAAGGCCCUGGCAAGAGGCCUCUGAGUGCAUUCGGAAAGAUUACCCCCACAUUAUGGUGCAAGUUGUUCGAGAUGGUACUCAAAGUACGUCCACAAGGAGACUGGACCGAGUCAAGAUAUUUAUUAACUCAGAAGGGAAGGUCGUUGGAACACCAGUGAUUGGUUGAUGCCUAUAAUGUAUGUCAAACACUUUCAAAACGAUUUGGUAUACUUCUGACUCGGGGAAACCUAGCAGAUGCUAAACACUUUAAGAACUGCAUUCUGGUAUAUAUGCCAAACGUGGUAAGGGAGAAAUGGAAAUAAUGCAAUAAUCAUAUGACCAUCAUCACAGAAUGAGUGUCCAGAAUCCUAUCUGGGUUUUGACUUUUCUUUUGAAAGAAUUAGCAGCAAUUUUAUGAGAGGUUUUAAUCACGAUAGAGUUCUGUGUUUACACACUGGACCUGUCACAACUAUAGUUAUUCUGCAACGUUUGGUCACUCAGAAUUAAGCAAUAGCAUUAAUGCAAUAGAACAUUACCCGGUAAGUCUCCUGGGUCCAUUGAAUAGAUCAGUGUCAGAAAAUCAUAAUUUUGAUGGAGAAGUGGACAGAUGGGUUAAAACACUGGCUUCUGAGGCUUGCAUAGUAGCUGGCUCAGUAACAGUGUGGCAUAGUGUAUUGUCCCCUGCUGGGUACCUGACUCCUUAUGGGGUUGGGGAAAGUAAGGCAGCGAGAGAAAAGACUUGAGCAUCAUCCUUACAAAGAUGGUCCUGAGAAGAGCACGGUCUUAAAUAUUUCAUUCCAAUGACCUUUUUAACCUAUGGAAAUGUAGGACAUGUCUCAGUAUUGAAUAUCUCACUAAUGAAAAGCAUGCACACAGUACAACCCAGCACGUACAUGAUCACAAAGACAGGACAGAGGAAACUAAAGUACCUGGAUAAAAACCACCAAUGAUCUGACCAGUAAACAGGUGGAUGGAUGUUUGAACCAAAAUGCAAACCUACAAUGCAUUAUUCCGUUGGGAUGAUAGGUGCUUCUGCCACUGCACCAUGAACCACCCAAGAAACUACAUUUUUUUUUGUAAUAAUGUGAUUGCAUUAUCACAUGAGAUUCUCAGAAAUACAAAUUUCAAGUUUUACCAGUAAAUCAAAGUUUAAAUAUGUCCAUUAUUUCUUUUUAUGUAGAAGUCAUUUAAUGUGAGAGUGCAUUUCAUGAAUAAUAAAGAUUCACACUUGUACUGCUUAUGAAGUUGGGUGAAAAUGCAAAAGUAGCCUGAUUUGUCUUAUUAUUGUGUUGUGCUGUCAUAGAGAAGAACUAUAAAAUUAAUCUUCAACUGCUGUUUUGGAUGCUGAAGAUAUGCUAUGUAAAUGUCUAAAUAAUUCUGGCUGUUCCAGCAGUUGUUGUUUUCAAUUAAUCCCACCAUAUGCCGUAUUGGCUUCUCAUAGUUUUAAAUGGUGACUCAAACCGUUCCUACUUUUAAUGCUUCAUUGUAAGUAAUUUACUACCCAGUACUGAUGCUCAAUCAUGCUUUGCAAAAGGCUUUAUUUUCGAAAUAGUAGUAACUGAUUCGGUUAAACAUGGCAAUAUAAAGCUGUAUAAUUAUUGGGAGACUGUCAUUUAAGAUGUUAAUAAAAGUUUAUUUCAUGUCAUGUUUGUAAAUAAAACAAAUUUCAUAGAAAAUGAA